AAUCAGUACAAAAUAAUAAACCAAGCCGUAACCCACGUGGACGUCAAAACAGAGGCGACUCCACCGUGCGCUUGACGUCAUACACUGCAUUCGAAGCCCACGGGAGGUACUAAUUGGUUAAUUAGCUAGCAAUUUACCUUACCUUGAUUUUCUUUUUAUAAUUGCCCAUUCUGAAACCCAAGUUUAUGUAGUUAAAUUGGGCUGAUGAGUUUACAUGAAAGGGAAAAUAUUAUAUGCUAAUUGAUGCUGGAAUAAAGACUGCAGUAAAGUCUUGAGGGAGACCUGUAACAGUGGACCAUGCCCCAGACAGUGAGUAACCCCCCGGGCUUGUGCAUUAGUGCCAAAACCAUUCCAGAGAGAGAGACGAUAUAUUCAUGCACUGGCGCCACAGACCCUGUUCCAGAGAGGAAGGUGAUGUAUUCAGGCAAUGGUAUACUGGACCCUGCUCCAGACCGUAGGUACAGGCAGGCCUAUUCUUCCAGGUAUAGGUGGAAAUGGAGGAGGAAGUCAAAAAAAGAAACACAGCCGUUGCCGCCAGCCCCACCUCUGCCACCGUAUGAGGAAGAAAACUGGGAGGAGGAGAUGGGAAUCGUUGAGACAUAUGGAUUUGCUCCAUAUGGCCCAGAGGAUGUGGAUAGAGUGGCCCUACAGGGGUUGACCCUGAACCAGCCCCCCUGCCCUCCCCACCCCCAGACAGCAACCGACUACAGCCCUGCCACGCACCACCAAGCCCCCAUCAAAUGGGUCUGCCACAUCAUCUGCAUCGUGAAGGAGCAGUUUGUCGACGCAGAGGUUUGAGGUCCGGUGUGUUCCGAUACACUUUUUAUUAGUUUACUCUUUAAUUGUGAGCUCUUAGGAAUGAUUUUAGUUGUUUUCUCAGGUGUUUUAAGUUCUGCUUGUCCCUUGGUUGGUUUAUUAAUGAAUUAGGAUGAUGUAUUUGUAGCCUUGUUGACAGUUGGGUCACGUGUUAAUAACACUUCAUGAUUUUUGUGAAUUUCAAUAGAUUUGUAGUCUAACUCUUAACUAAAAGAGAAAUCAUAAAAACUAUCUUAUUUUUUUGAAAUACUUUUGUUUUAAAAGCAAAUAACUGAUAGGCCCAUGUGUUCAACUGUCACUCUCCCUUUAAAAUCAAAUGUGUUAAAAUAGAGGGCCCAGUGCAAGAAUAAGAUGUUACCAGGUUUAUUACACUGAUAUGUUUGGAUUUAUUCUCAAAUGGAUUGGACUGAUUCUGAGCCCAUGGAGAGCAAGAGGUCAGGUCUCCAUGACUCCAGCACUCUGUAAUACACAACCCACUGGGCACAGAUGUCAAUUCGACAUUGGUUCAAUGUAAUUUCAUUGUAAUGGUGUGGAAACAACGUUGCUUCAAACAGUGUGCACCCAGUGAGAAUGAAAUUCAGCUUUUAAAUUCCAGGAUCUCUUUAACACGAAUAAACCAUGCAUUUUAACAACAACCCUCUACACUGACGCUUCAUUCCCACAGUUUUUGUUGUAGAAGUAGUUCAGAAGAGAAA
rnacentral:lncRNA from 1 species